rnacentral:rRNA from 1 species
GGGGAUAAUACCCCAUAGACUAUGGAUGCUGGAAUGCUUCGUAGUUGAAAGGUCCGCCGCUGUAGGAUGGGUCUGCGGCCGAUUAGGUUGUUGUUGGGGUAACGGCCCAACAAGCCUGUAAUCGGUACGGGUUGUGGGAGCAAGAGCCCGGAGAUGGAUUCUGAGACACGAAUCCAGGCCCUACGGGGCGCAGCAGGCGCGAAAACUUUGCAAUGCGGGAAACCGCGACAAGGGAACUCCGAGUGCCCGUAAAAUCGGGCUGUCCAUCGGUUUAAAUAACCGGUGAAGAAAGGGCCGGGCAAGACCGGUGCCAGCCGCCGCGGUAAUACCGGCGGCUCGAGUGGUGGCCACUAUUACUGGGCUUAAAGCGUUCGUAGCUGGUUUGUUAAGUCUCUGGGGAAAUCUUCCGGCUUAACCGGAAGGCGUCUCAGGGAUACUGGCAGACUAGGGACCGGGAGAGGUGAGAGGUACUCCAGGGGUAGGAGUGAAAUCCUGUAAUCCUUGGGGGACCACCUGUGGCGAAGGCGUCUCACCAGAACGGCUCCGACAGUGAGGGACGAAAGCUGGGGGAGCAAACCGGAUUAGAUACCCGGGUAGUCCCAGCCGUAAACGAUGUGCGUUAGGUGUAUCGGUGACCACGAGUCACCGAGGUGCCGAAGAGAAAUCGUGAAACGUACCGCCUGGGAAGUACGGUCGCAAGGCUGAAACUUAAAGGAAUUGGCGGG